rnacentral:tmRNA from 1 species
GGGGCUGAUUCUGGAUUCGACGGGAUUUGCGAAACCCAAGGUGCAUGCCGAGGGGCGGUUGGCCUCGUAAAAAGCCGCAAAAAAAUAGUCGCAAACGACGAAACCUACGCUUUAGCAGCUUAAUAACCUGCUUAGAGCCCUCUCUCCCUAGCCUCCGCUCUUAGGACGGGGAUCAAGAGAGGUCAAACCCAAAAGAGAUCGCGCGGAUGCCCUGCCUGGAGUUGAAGCGUUAAAACGAAUCAGGCUAGUCUGGUAGUGGCGUGUCCGUCCGCAGGUGCCAGGCGAAUGUAAAGACUGACUAAGCAUGUAGUACCGAGGAUGUAGGAAUUUCGGACGCGGGUUCAACUCCCGCCAGCUCCACCA